ACUUUCUGAGAAUAUGCACAUUGUCUUGAAUAGAAGGCACUAUUCGAUUUGAUUCAGUUUGACAGCUGUUUAAUUACAUCAUCUUUACACA